CUGCGGCAGCGACACUGUGUGUUGUUGGGUAGGGGAGCGUUCUGUAAGCCUGUGAAGGUGUGUCGUGAGGCAUGCUGGAGGUAUCAGAAGUGCGAAUGCUGACAUAAGUAACGAUAAAGCGGGUGAAAAGCCCGCUCGCCGGAAGACCAAGGGUUCCUGUCCAACGUUAAUCGGGGCAGGGUGAGUCGACCCCUAAGGCGAGGCCGAAAGGCGUAGUCGAUGGGAAACGGGUUAAUAUUCCCGUACUUGGUGUUACUGCGAAGGGGGGACGGAGAAGGCUAUGUUGGCCGGGCGACGGUUGUCCCGGUUUAAGCGUGUAGGUGUGUGUUCCAGGUAAAUCCGGUUCACUUUAACACUGAGGCGUGACGACGAGGCACUACGGUGCUGAAGCAACAAAUGCCCUGCUUCCAGGAAAAGCCUCUAAGCAUCAGGUAACAUCAAAUCGUACCCCAAACCGACACAGGUGGUCAGGUAGAGAAUACCAAGGCGCUUGAGAGAACUCGGGUGAAGGAACUAGGCAAAAUGGUGCCGUAACUUCGGGAGAAGGCACGCUGACACGUAGGUGAAGUGAUUUACUCAUGGAGCUGAAGUCAGUCGAAGAUACCAGCUGGCUGCAACUGUUUAUUAAAAACACAGCACUGUGCAAACACGAAAGUGGACGUAUACGGUGUGACGCCUGCCCGGUGCCGGAAGGUUAAUUGAUGGGGUCAGCGCAAGCGAAGCUCCUGAUCGAAGCCCCGGUAAACGGCGGCCGUAACUAUAACGGUCCUAAGGUAGCGAAAUUCCUUGUCGGGUAAGUUCCGACCUGCACGAAUGGCGUAAUGAUGGCCAGGCUGUCUCCACCCGAGACUCAGUGAAAUUGAACUCGCUGUGAAGAUGCAGUGUACCCGCGGCAAGACGGAAAGACCCCGUGAACCUUUACUAUAGCUUGACACUGAACAUUGAGCCUUGAUGUGUAGGAUAGGUGGGAGGCUUUGAAGUGUGGACGCCAGUCUGCAUGGAGCCGACCUUGAAAUACCACCCUUUAAUGUUUGAUGUUCUAACGUGGACCCGUGAUCCGGGUUGCGGACAGUGUCUGGUGGGUAGUUUGACUGGGGCGGUCUCCUCCUAAAGAGUAACGGAGGAGCACGAAGGUUGGCUAAUCCUGGUCGGACAUCAGGAGGUUAGUGCAAUGGCAUAAGCCAGCUUGACUGCGAGCGUGACGGCGCGAGCAGGUGCGAAAGCAGGUCAUAGUGAUCCGGUGGUUCUGAAUGGAAGGGCCAUCGCUCAACGGAUAAAAGGUACUCCGGGGAUAACAGGCUGAUACCGCCCAAGAGUUCAUAUCGACGGCGGUGUUUGGCACCUCGAUGUCGGCUCAUCACAUCCUGGGGCUGAAGUAGGUCCCAAGGGUAUGGCUGUUCGCCAUUUAAAGUGGUACGCGAGCUGGGUUUAGAACGUCGUGAGACAGUUCGGUCCCUAUCUGCCGUGGGCGCUGGAGAACUGAGGGGGGCUGCUCCUAGUACGAGAGGACCGGAGUGGACGCAUCACUGGUGUUCGGGUUGUCAUGCCAAUGGCACUGCCCGGUAGCUAAAUGCGGAAGAGAUAAGUGCUGAAAGCAUCUAAGCACGAAACUUGCCCCGAG
rnacentral:rRNA from 1 species